rnacentral:rRNA from 1 species
CCUACGGGAGGCAGCAGUGGGGAAUAUUGCACAAUGGGGGAAACCCUGAUGCAGCAACGCCGCGUGAGCGAGGAAGGCCUUCGGGUCGUAAAGUUCUGUCCUAAGGGAAGAAUACUGACGGUACCUUAGGAGGAAGCCCCGGCGAACUACGUUCCAGCAGCCGCGGUAAUACGUAGGGGGCUAGCGUUAUCUGGAAUUACUGGGCGUAAAGGGUGCGUAGGCGGCCCUUCAAGUCAGGGGUGACAGGCAACGGCUCAACCGUAGUAAGCCUUUGAAAUUGUAGGGCUUGAGAGCAGGAGAGGAGAGUGGAAUUCCCAGUGUAGCGGUGAAAUGCGUAGAUAUUGGGAGGAACACCAGUUGCGAAGGCGGCUCUCUGGACUGUAACUGACGCUGGGGCACGAAAGCGUGGGGAGCGAACAGGAUUAGAUACCCCUGUAGUC